GCGUUUGAUGCUUGGCGCAAAAGUUAUGAACGAUUAUAUCUCAAGAAGUGCAUUGAUGUGCACAUUUAAAGUCAUAAAACUAUAUGAAAUAUCCAGCUUGAUGGGAACUCAUGUAACUUCGAAUGUCUAAAUUGACUGGACUAACAUGCACGAUAUGUUUUCUAAAUGUACCUGAUCAUCUAAAUGUAUCAUUAUUUACUUGUACUUUACAACUUUAAUUGUUAUCUUCUAUGUAUGACUAAAAAUUAGAAUAAAUAGAGAAAUAAAUAAA